AAAUAGCUUACCUGAGAUCGUGAGACUACGGACCGAACUUAAGCAUAUCAGUAAGUCCAGGAACAGAAGAAAACUAGUUCCUCUAGUAGCGCGAGCGAAAAGGAUUAGCCAGGCCUGAAUUUAGUUAGUUGUGGGCGUGCGUUGCGAAACGAAGGUAAAAUGAGCUGACAUGCUCUGGUCCAAACGGUUUUACCCCGGUAACCUUCAUGCAUAAGCUUCUAUAGUAGCACUGUUUGAGAGUAUAGUGUGAAUAUACGUGGUAUUACACACGUAAGGCUAAAUACAGAUCUGUGUCCGAUAGCGCAUCGAGUAACGUGAGUGAAAGGUGAAAAGUAGCCCUAUACAGGGUGCUUAAAAGACGUGAAACUGUUACUUCAAAGGGAAAGAUAGCAUGUGUUGGUGGACAUAACAAGCCACUGACCCGAGCGUACGCAAGUACGUCACAGUGGCGCGAAGCUUCCCGCCCGUCUUGAAACACGGAUUAAGGAGUUACUUUACAUUGCGAGCCAACACGUGAUAAGCGUGAGGGCGUAGAGAAAUCUGAUUUAUUCAAUCAUGCCGCUAUAGGGAGAUUUAUCGAACUAUAGUCUCAUAGUAAUGUGAUGUAAACCCGAAAGGUAGUGAUCUUUAUCUAGCUGAUACCGAAGCCGGUCGAAAGGUUGGUGGAAGGUAGCCGCAGUACUGACGUGCAAAUCGUUUGUCGGAGCCGGAUAAAGGGUCGUCCGAAAGACUCAUCGAACUACAGUAGCUGGUUACGUUCGAAAUUUCUCUCAGGAUAGCAACAACAAUANNNNNGCAGCGGUAGAGAGAAUGAUUGGUAGAUAGUGGAACCUAGUUCUGCACUAACUCUCAAACUCCGAAUAGCUGUGAACAUUGGUACUACCGCAAGAGUAGCUAUUGUCGAGCAAUCGUUGUUAGUGGGCCACUCUGGGUAAGCCGGAUUGGCAAGGAGGAUUCAGCCUUAAGUCAGGUUACGGUGCGCAACAAAGGCGCAUGAGACUAAACGACGUAUGUUGAUGUUGACAGCAGGAAGGUGGCCAUAAAAGUCGGAAGCCUCUUAGGAGUGUGUUACUACUCACUUGCCGAAUCAAUAUGCUCGGAAAAUGGAUCGCGCUACAGCCUUUGACCUACACCUGACUAGCAAACUCUUGUGUUGUGCUAGGUAGAACGUGGUGGAGAGCGCUUUGAAGCCUUUGCGUGACGUCAGGUGGAGCACUCUCUAAGUCCAGUCUUAAUUGAAGUAGUGCUUAGUCCAACUAUGAACCACUUACCGGAGAAGGUUUCCAAGGCCACUAAAUAGUCCUUGGGUUACUCGGUCCUAAGCGUUACUGAACGCCACUUAAACGUCGAAAGGGAAGUAGGUUAAAAUUCCUACAAGGCUCACAUAUGCGGCGACGCGUGUGCUUCUCAUUGAGUUCCGAUCGGUAUCCCUGGGCUUUCGUCCCAGUCUGAUGUAAUCUCUAGUUGCGAAGCAGUAGAGUCUUUCAGCGUAUCGCUAGAGAAGACAGUAUACAGGAAGGCAGUGUAUUCUGCUUGUUGAACCAGUUUGGAACUCGCUAAAAAAUGGGAAUCGCGCUAAUUGUGAGCACCGUACUAAGUAAACCGCAUCAGGUCUCCAGGUUAAGCAACCUCAAGUGAGAAGAUAGCGUGAGCGUGGGAACUCGGCAAAAUAGCUAUGAAAGUUAGCGAAAAAUAGUGGCUCUGAACGUUCGUCCAAGGGCAAAAUCAUAGAAGAUGUGUGAGAGCGCUGGUGGAGCAASUSUUUGCGCUGGAACUUCGGAAGGGUGGAGAUCUGCGGGCAAACAUCAUUUUAGAACGCUUCCAGCUAGGAGAAUCCGACUGUAUAAUUAAAACAUAGUUAAUGGACUGUCACUGCAGGUGCAGUUCAUUGUUGAAUCCUGCCCAGUGCUAUGACUGUUAAAAUCGAGAGAUUGAUUUAAGCUCUGGUAAACGGCGGGAGUAACUAUGACUCUUUUAAGGUAGCCAAAUGCCUCGUCCAGUAAUUUUGGACGUGCAUGAAUGGAUUAAUGGGGUUCUCACUGUCCUCGCUCACAUCUUCGCGAAACCACAGACUCGGGAACGGGCGAGUGCUACUCUCAGCGGGGCAAGAAGACCCUGUUGAGCUUGACUCCAGCUUUGGAACUGUAGAACGGUGAUGGUGGUAUAGCGUACAGGGGAGAUUCGUCAACAAUGUAACACCCUGACACUAUUCAUUGUUCUGCUAACCUGGUCAUCGUAGGAAGUUGAACUACCUAUUGUCAGGACACUUCUAGGUGGGGAGUUUGUCUGGGCGGAGACGCCUGCUAAAGUUUAACGCAGGAGUCCAAUAGUAAGCUCAGUAUAUUCAGAAAUUAUACGUAGAGCAAAAGAGUAAAAGCUUAUCUGACUGAGUUCAUCAGUGGUGAACUCAGACGUGAAAGCGUGGUCUAUCGAUCCUUUACAUAUGCAUGUAAUGCAUCUAGAGGUGACAGAAAAGU
rnacentral:rRNA from 1 species